GUCCCUUCGGGGACAUCCGAUAAAAUUGGAACGAUACAGAAAAGAUUAGCAUGGCCCCUUCGCAAGGAUGACACGCACAAAUUGAGAAAUGGUCCAAUUUUUU